rnacentral:rRNA from 1 species
GAUGAACGCUGGCGGCGUGCCUAAUACAUGCAAGUCGAGCGAACAGACGAGGAGCUUGCUCCUCUGACGUUAGCGGCGGACGGGUGAGUAACACGUGGAUAACCUACCUAUAAGACUGGGAUAACUUCGGGAAACCGGAGCUAAUACCGGAUAAUAUAUUGAACCGCAUGGUUCAAUAGUGAAAGACGGUUUUGCUGUCACUUAUAGAUGGAUCCGCGCCGCAUUAGCUAGUUGGUAAGGUAACGGCUUACCAAGGCAACGAUGCGUAGCCGACCUGAGAGGGUGAUCGGCCACACUGGAACUGAGACACUGUCCAGACUCCUGCGAGAAGCAACAGUAGGGAAUCUUCCGCAAUGGGCGGAAGCCUGACGGAGCAACGCCACGUGAGUGAUGAAGGUCUUCGGAUCGUAAAACUCUAUUAUUAGGGAGGAACAAAUGUGUAAGUAUCUAUGCACGUCUUGACGGUACCUAAUCAGAAAGCCACGGCUAACUACGUG